UACGUAGGGUGCAAGCGUUGUCCGGAAUUAUUGGGCGUAAAGAGCUCGUAGGCGGUUUGUCGCGUCUGCUGUGAAAACUCGGGGCUUAACCCCGGGCCUGCAGUGGGUACGGGCAGACUAGAGUGCGGUAGGGGAGACUGGAAUUCCUGGUGUGGCGGUGAAAUGCGCAGAUAUCAGGAGGAACACCGGUGGCGAAGGCGGGUCUCUGGGCCGUAACUGACGCUGAGGAGCGAAAGCGUGGGGAGCGAACAGG
rnacentral:rRNA from 1 species